GUGUGUGUGUGUGUGUGUGUGUGUGUGUGUGUGUGUGUGUGUGUGUGGACUUUUUAUAAAGUGUAUAUAAUAAAAUAAUAAAUCACGUUACCACAUGGCGUGUUUUUGUGGAAAACAAGGCCCAAGUUGCCCCAGGACUGCAGUUGGUGCUCGCUCUUGAUGGUGGUGAGGGCUUCAAGGUCUCUGUCCACAUCUUCCUGGCCUCUGUUCUAAUAUUCAUGUCUCUUGAGACUAUUAAUGGCCAGUUUUUUGGAAGGUCCUCAGAUCUGCUCAUGGUUUGAUUCAGGUUUGCAUUUUUUGACCGGCUCAGAAAAGAUGUGUCUAUCCUAUAUUUGGUGAUGACUGAGCACUUAAGGUAGUGCCUGCCAUGUUCCCCUGUGAAGUUUCACAUCUUAACCUUUGUAGUUAACUAUUGGGAAGAGACUGGAGACUGAGAGGUUUACCCACCAUGUUUAUUCUCUGUUCUUUAAUUAGUUGUAACUGGUAUGAGGGUUGCAGAACACUGAUAUUUGAACACCAUUGGGAGCAUUUUUCUUUCAUUGGCAUCGGAAGUGUCACCUCCCCAUCUGCCACUUUAAAAUUAGCCAGGUACCUAAGUUUACUAAAUGGGCCAGACGGUACCUUCUUCAAUCACAUUUGGGAAGCAUGGUGCACAAAAUGAAUAAAGUAGUACGACUCUGAUUUGGGUUGCUGAGCAUAUUUGUCUCCCACUUACCUGUCACUCCCAUACUGUUCAGAGUAGCACAAUGUGUGGUUUGGGUGGGUGACUUAGAGGCCCUGGGUCACACUGGGCUAAGGAGCCCACCAUGCUUCAAAGCUUGGGUGGGGGGAGGAGCUGGUUGCACUUUGGGUCGGUGUCUGGUAAAUAAGCAGCCAGUACAUGGGUUUUGAGUCCUGGCCCCACAUGCUGAGUGUAGCAAUUCUUUAGGUACCCCUCAAAAUUUUUUACCAGUGAUUACAAGUACAGUUCUGGGCACAGUUCCAGGUGUGCAUCUGAAUUAUCUUGGUUUCAAGGAUAAUCUUGGAGUCCCAAUUGGGUCUGAUGGUGUUCACAAAAUCAUGCAGUUGUGAGUAGAUGAGGUGUUUCUAGUCCUUUCCCUCUACCAUCUGUCAGAGCAAUCACUGCCUUUGUGCCAUCUCGUGCUUGGUGUUCCUGAAGAACCAGGUGGACUGGUGGGAGAGGCAACCCAUCCUCGCCCAACAUGAAGGCAAGGCAGUGCCGGAUGCUGGCGUGUCCCACACAUUACAGAGCCUGUGCUGAUUGGGGUGCAGAUCCCCAAUCAAAGGGAAGGCAGCUUCCAUGUGGGAGGAAAGUCAAGUGGGAAACCAACUGUGGAGGAAACUUCAAGAGUGAAGGGGGGCUUAGAACAUUUCUAAAUGUUGUAAAGCCAGCAGGUGAACUUGGGUCACUUCAGAAUGAUUUGUGGGGAUGUCUGUUGUAAAGCUUCAGUGGGUGACUGAUACUAGGGAUGUUGCAUUGUAGCAUACACAGCCGCAGUUCAGUGAUGCAUCCUCCUACCAGAAGAUGGGAUGCAGGUUGGUAAGGAAAGGCCACCCUGGGUAUGUAAAGUUUCAGUCACUUCCCUCUCCAUAUGUUCACUUAUCCCAACCCUGUUUUUCCAGCUGUCUGCAUUUGCUUUCCCCAUCUUUUGGGGUUGUGAGGUCCAUUUGAGAUAAUGCCCAGAACCGGCCCUGAGAGGGGUGGAUUUUCCCUGGGAAGUUCCUUGCACCAUCAGCCUUCCGCCUGUAGGCGGCAGAGGCUCCUAGGGCAGCCACACGCCCUCUUCGGGGCCUCUUCCCAUGCAAGGGAGGGGGAAAGCCUGGGGCUCCUGCAGAGUUGCUCAAAGGAUCAUCGUGUAGCAGGAAGAGAAAAGUCAUGGGAUUAGAGAUUUUGAGUUUCUCCGGAUGGUGUGUUCCCGGGCCAGCCGUCCUUUCCAGGAUUCAUGUGGGCCUCUGAUCCCUGGUGACCCAAGGCUGACUCUGUGGCUGAAGCUGCUCCUCCUGUUCUGGGAACUCGCCUUCUGGGACUAGUGUCAAGCAGCUGUGAGCUGCCGUCUGGGGAGAAACCCAGCCUCAUUUGGGAGAGACCACGGGUCCCAGCUAAGCCCAUCCUUUCAAUCAUCCCAGCCCAAGAAUCAGACAAGUCUCUGGAAGAAGUCUCUAGAUUGGCAGAGUCUCAAUAAAACUUUGUGUUGAUGGAAGUGUUCUAUGUACGUGCUCUCCACUAUAGUGGCCAUUAGCCACAUGUCAGCUACGGUUUAGAGAGAACACGAACACACUGUUAAAUUUGAAUUUGAGUUAAACAGUAAAUACUUCUUUGGUAUGA